rnacentral:misc_RNA from 1 species
AAUCGAAGUCAGCGACUACCGCCACAACCGCGGUGUCACAUCCAACACCACCCACCAGCAGCGGGCUCAUCAGCCUCUGUGUCUGUGUCUGUGUGUGUGUGUGUGUCUGCUGGCCCCCGUUGCUAUGAAUUUAGCGUGGCCAUCCCCAUCUCUCUGCGCGUCCUCCAUCUGGCACACCGCCAUCUGUGCCUCUGCCCCUGCCUAAAGGCGUCCAUUGCUGCAGGCCGGGCUGCAGGGCCACGCGCCACGCUGCAGUGGCUGUGAGCGAUCGAGCAACACGAAUACAGACGCCCGCGCAGCCCUCCCUCCCCCCCCACACACACCACCACCACCGCUUCCCGUACGCCGAAAACAGACAUGAACUUGCCACCCUCAUCGAAGGCGCCGGACGCCGACUCGCCUCGCUCUUUCCGCGCAGAGAGUGAGGCGGCAACGGCGUGCAAGCCGCUGCACCUGCGCUCCCCGCCACCACCCGCGUCACGCUCGCCGUCGGCUGUCAUUUCUGCAUCCGCCUCGCUGCCGCCGCCACUCCCGCUGCAUCGCUCAAGCAGCCUCGUCAACCAUCCAGCGCUGUCAGGAGCUCGUCGGCUGAUGGAUGACUCACUACCGCCACCGCCGCCGGACGCGGCGCACGGCAUCGCAGAGCUCGUCGCGCCACAUGAGCUGCAGCUGUACAACACAGAGGUGCGCUCAUGUGGCCACCCGCAGCGACUCUACGUCAAGGUUCCAGUGAGCCCCAGCGGCAGCAUGGCAACUGAAAGGGGCCACCAAGACAGAGUUGCACCCGUCCCCUGCACCGAGGGCACAGAGACAGCGACCCCACGGCAUCACCCGGCAAGCAGCCUAGCGCAUGCCUUUUCGCCUCCCCUCGCCCCCGUCGGUAGCAGCAGCGCCGCCGCCGCCGACGCCACACCGCCGGUGAGGGGCACUGAAUGCCGAGCUCCGCCACUGCCUUUAGCGUCCCCUGCGGUAUUGGUGUCGCCCUACGCAGCGGAGAGUGCGCGGGCAUCGGUGGGGUCAGAGCCGCUACAGCUGGUAGUGACGGACGGGGUGCGUACCCCGGCCUCCUCAGCAUCCGCCUCCCUCACGCCUGCGGCAACUGCGGAGACGAGCGCCAUGAAGCGUCACCAUGAAGACGAUGACGACAUGCGCGACCCCUACCAGCCUCAGCCGCAGCAACACCAAGGCCGCGACGGUAGCAAAAUCGGACUGCAGCCCUCGCCGCCAUUGGUGGAGCUGCGCCAGCUGGCGAUGGGCGCCUCAACUUUCAUUCCAACGACCCUGUCGACCCUCUCCUCCUCGCGUCAGCGCUCCGUCUCGGGGAACACGGAGGAGCGCGCCUUCAUCGUGGUCGUGCCAGCCGAUGACGCCACUCAUAGCGUCCCAAUGCCAGCCGCGCCUGUCAGUGGUGAUGAGAGGAAGCUGCUCGUGCAGCUGACGGAGGGCACUACACACCGCGGCGCAAGCGCCCACAUCAGCCCUGCCGAGGUCCACCAACCACAAGAGGGGGUCUCCUCGGCAGUGAUGCCAUCCUGGGCGGGCCACGAAGCUGCAGAAGCGGCCGAAGAGGAAGCGAUGCUGUCCGUGCACCUCUUCACAACGGCGGUAAGGGAAGAGGUCUCGGCAUCGUCGACGCGGUCUGUCUCGCAUGUGCGGUCGUCGAUGGAGAGGAGCGGCAUCGACUUCUCGAGCGCCACCGCAACCACACUACCGUCCGCGCGUGCCGAGUGUUGGGUGGAGACCGAACCGGCCGUACCUGCCCCGUGGCAGUUUGCAGAGCACGCAGCCUAUACCACCCCGCACUCGCAGUCCGGCCCGAUAAGAGGCUCCUAUCUCUCCUCUGCAUCAGCAGCGCCAGCAUCGGCUGCGCCCUUUAGCACCGGCCGCGAGCAGCUCGUGGGGGCACACUUGGAUGACGAGGCCGGCGGCAACGGCAACGGUGACAACCGCGAAGGCUCCAGCGACGUGCGCAGCCUGUCGGGGAGCGAGGCUGAGGCGUGGCUGUUGGACGUUCCAGGCCAGCCAUCGGCGACGGCAGAGGCGGAGCAGCAAGCGCAGCUUUACGUGCUGCAGCCUACCGGAGCAGAGACAUCGGAGGUGCCUCCGUCGUCGGUGGGCAGCGAUGAGGAUCGCCCGGCGAUUGUGCCGGUGGAUGCGAGUCGAUCGUCUGUCGCCCGCUCCCUCCCACGUGAGCUCUCGGCUGUGCAACACCGCGACGAUGAUGUCAACGACGCGACGGCAACAGCAGCAGUGGCGGAACUGGUGCAGCAGCAGCAACAACAUGCAAGGCGUGAGGACAUCGCCGUGGCCGACACGUGCAUCACCGCCCGCGAUGGAAUCGACGAGGUUGUCGAAGGCAGUCGGGAGGAUGGAGUCGGGCACAUUGCGAUGGUGCUCACCGCGUCGCCGGCCGUGGUGACAGCGGACGCUCGCGCAGCAUCCUCGCCGACAUCGUUCUCGCCGUCUUCCCGUCCGAGGGUCCGCGUGGAGAAGGGAGCAGCCGAGCGCACUGUCACCGCCGCUGCCGCCGCGCACUCCCCAGUGGAGAUGCUGGAGGACGAGGUGGGGAAGGCUCCCUCGGCCCUGGCUGCCCCUGAGUCUCCGGCUGCCCGCGGCGGCCGUGCAGACGACGACGACGUAGAUUCUGUGAUGCCGCGCACAGGCGCUUUAGAAGACGUCGUUGCUGCCGCCGCUGCGGAUGUUGUGGCGAACGCGACGCGCGCGCGGCAGCCGAUAGACGAAAGUGAGGACUUCUCUGCGGCGAACGACUUCGAAAACGCACCGCAGAACCAGCUGGCUGAUGCAGCCACUGAUGGCGAAGAGGUAGUCGUGGAGGGUGUGCGGGAAAAGCAGCACAGAACGCCAAUCCCGCGCGCAGCGGGCGGGACGGUGCCUGCGACAUGUGUGGUGGCUCGCUCCUCCCCAUCAGAUCACGUGCUUGUGUCACCACCGACGCAGUGCACAGUCCUUCCUGCAGUGCCGGCAGCGAUGAUCGACGGUGGCUACGGUGCCCAUGCUGCGCUGCGAGCGCGUGACGCACCGCCCUCGGCCGCUCACACAACCAGCAUGUGGCGCUGGCCCCCGCAGCCCUCUCCCUGUGACCGUAUUCAGCGCGGCCACCGUCACCACCUGAGCGGCGGUGAGCAGCAGCAGUCGUGGUCAGUGGCUUCCCCCUUCCAACGCCGCCCUGUCGCGCGUGACUUGUUGGCGGAUGUGGACGUCAUGAACGACGAGGAGGACAGCGCAUGGGAGAAGUGCAGGGCAGGGCAGCCACGCGGCCCAGUCCGGUUCGAGGGCAGAGACGGUCAGCUUGUGCCGCAACAUGCAUCGUCGUCAGCAGCAGCGCCUCCGCCAAGUCCGCCCGCAGCGGACGUCGUUGAAACACUCGUGCUUGCGCACCGCCGCCUUAUCGCGGACGCACCCCUCCACGAGCUGAUGGAGCUCGAGCGGGAGGGCCGGAGGACGGUCAUGCUCGAUAUGCUGCAAGACAGAGAGGCGGUACUGCAGGAGAAGGCCUUUGACUUCAGCAUGCUCUCGCUGUUGCCGGCCCACCCGUCGGCAGUCGCGGCGGCGGCUGCAACGGGUAGCCGGACAGGCACCGGUACUGGCGCCAGCAGCAGCGUCGCCAGUGACGGGGCGGCGGCGCCGCGGCGGGCCUGGGUGCCUCCACUGCCGCCGCCACCGACGAGUCGCGAGGAGGUGGAGCGACUUCUACGCAUGCGUGGACUAUCCGGCAGCCUGUCGCUCGGCAUCGUCGGCGCAGCGCUGUUUACUGACGAGCUGCUACGACGCGAAGUUGUCGAGGGCGCAGAGGCCAGCGCACGCACGAUUCUCCUGCGGUUGUGCCGGUGUGGCGCAGAUGCACUGAAUCCGUACGGCGUCGUGGCGCAAGAAGCGCUGGCGCGCCAGCGGCUGAUGGCGACGGAGCGGCUCGAAGGUCAGCAGGUGCGCUCGCUGGAGAACUCGCCUGCAGCCGGCGUAUUGGAGAUGCUGAUCAUUGGCCGCGAGUUGGCGCUGUGUCGCACGAUGGAAGACAAUGAACGGCGCGAGUUGAUCGAGAAGGCGGAGCAGCUGGGGCGGCAGCGGCUGCGAGAGCUGCACCUGCGUGGCCUGGCGGCGCGACUGCGCCAGCGCGAGCUACUGCAGGCCUCCAUGAACGUGACCCUACGCGAUGCCAUCGAUGACGUCUUGUUCGACGAGGUGCAGGCACGCGAGGAGCUUCGGGUGGAGGCGAUCCGCGAGAUGACGGUGCUGCUAGAGUCGGCGAGUGGUACCGUCGUGCUAGAUGCUGCGCGUCAGCAUCAACGUCAACUGCAGCAGCAACGGGAGGACGCGACACCGCAGAGCUUGCACGAGAAGGUGCGUCUUUCGGCGACAAGCGUCAAGAGCGGCAGCAGCGCAGCGGCGGGCCACGAGUGCGCAAGGCCUGCGGCGGCUUUGGAAAUCGACGCGCCGGCAGGAGAGGACGUCGACGACGGCAGCGACUGGGAGCUCGUGGAGGAGGUGAACGACCUUAGCGUUGGCAGCGAUGUUGUGGUUUUCGACGCAGCAGAGAAGCCAAUGAGGUCGGCGACGGCAGCAGCCACUACAGGGGCGGCGACAGCGAAUGGUUUUGCGACUCUGGUGGCAGACGGCGCACCAGACUUCUUUGAGUGGGAUCCAACUUCGAACUCCGCCUCCUCUCUCUCGAUGCGGUCCAAAGCAGGCAAGCGUCAUCCAUCCUCAUCGCAGCAGCAGCCACCGCACCCGCAACAGCAGCACACGUCGACCUCUUCGCCUUCGCCGCACGUAACCAACAUGACGGCGCUGACGGUUACCACCACAGCGAAUACGGCAAGUGCCAUCACCACCACAACAGCGAGCAGCGGGCAGGCGGCCGUCGGUGACAGCGGUGGUAGCGCUCCACAGGUGAAGCAGCAGGGCGUUGCCACCAACGCGAGCGGCAACACGACGUCUGAUGGCCGUAGGUCGCCGACGACGGUGCUGCCGUCGGAAGAGGAGCAGCAGCUCGUGCAGGAGCGCGAGCGUGUCAAUCCGGCUGAGGUGAGCGUGCUGCUGCACGCGCUGCGCUGCGCUGAGGCGGCGGUGCGGGAGAAGCACAAGGCUUCGCGCCAGACUGAGGUUACCGUCGAGAAAGGCAGCGCAGCACCAGCGUGGCCACAAGACCAGGACAACUCGGCCGCGGUGUCGGCUGGGAACCUUGACGGCGGUGCGGCACAGAGCAGCAACACACUGUCGAGGCCUUCCCUAAGCCGGCAGCAGUAUAAGGUGAUCAGCGUUGGCGAUGUGGUCGAUGCAUCACACCAGCCACGUGCAACGUCGCACUCGCUUCACGCCUCAACCACUCGCGGUCCGCCCUUCAUCAAUCGCCACACGAUCCCCUGCUCCCUUACCGACUCCCCUCGCCGCGGCUACGCUGCGCUAAUGCGCAAGUACACCCCGCAGCGUGAGUCUCAAUCGUCUUCGCCACUACCCGUAGCUACCGCCGUCUCGGCCUCCUCGCCGUCGACGUCCUCGUCGAGUUCGUCCCGGCCGUACGCGGAUGGGGAUGUGUACGCGUACGACCCGCAGCGGACGCGGCACAGUCGGCCAGCACGCCGGGCCGCGUUCGAGACACACCUCGAUCGCCGAGCUCCAUGGGAGCACUCCCGCGAAGACAUCAGCGGCGAGGAGGCGGCGCUUGGCUUGUGCAAUGGCAGCGGUACCGGUGCACCUGCGUCCGUCUACAAGCCAACGCUGCAGACGUCAGCGCGCGAAGUGUCCCCAGCCCAACGCCGCCGCGCACUCUCAGCCUUAGAGCCGUCACACGUGCCGUCGGCAUCCACGGCGCCACUCGUGCUCGAGGUGAUCACGGAGAUGCGCUCGACGCGGACGUCGCCGGCGGCAGAUGUCACCGUGUCGCCCAUGAGCUCCGGCGCCCGCCUCAGUCAAAGUCCAACUCGUGCGCGCCCUCCGCAGGCGUACGCAGCCCCGACAGCUGUGUGGACCAAGUAUGUGCAGGAACAGCAGCUGGUGCGCUGCGUCAGAGGCAGCGGCGCCGCCGCCGUCGAUGGUGGCGGUCAGCGUGCAUUGCAUACAUCAUCUGAGACCCCGAUCAGGAACGGCGGCGCCGCCACCCACGUGAAUCGGGAUCAGAGCAGUUGCUCUCGGCGUCGCUGGGGACAUGCGGAGGACCAUACAGUGCAGCACGUCAGCGCACCGCAAGCGCCGCUCCUCAUCACGCGACUACCACUGGAGUGUGGCCCCGGCGUUUGGAUGUCAUCGCCGCGUUACGCACACGGCGGUGUGCAUGUGGUUGUCACAACAACGCCGCCACGCACACGUCCUGCACCGGCAACGCUAGCCGACGCCUUCUCCCAGGCGGCUCGAACGGGCGGCGUCGUGCACUUGCCAACAACUGUGGCGGAGCUGCUGCGGGCACCGCAGCACACGCACCUCCCCUGUCCUGCCCCCGCCGCUUCCGCGAGGCCGAUGAAGGGGUCGUCGCGCCAGCUGGCCGAGGAUCGUCAUGCGCGGCGCCAGCACCUCAUCCCGUAUAACUACGUGGACGUCUUCUACAAGUACAGAGAUCGGUCACCCCGUGGCUGCGCACCAGCAGUGCCCUCCUCGGCCGACGCGUUGGUGCAGCCGCCCUCGACGCCGAGCGCCGCUUUCAUCUCCGCGCGCUGCACCGCCGUGCGUGAGCGUGAAAUCCAGCACGAGCUACGGCAGCUAUGGCAAGCACCGUCACCGUCGCAAGCGCGUCGAGCGCCGCCGUCGCCCACAGCCCGUGUAGGUCGCGGUGGCAGCAGCACACGCGUCGCAUCAUUGCGAAGGGGGUCGAGCACCAGCUCUGGAUCCGCCCUCAUCGCAACUACAGCGGCAACGUGGGGCGAGGACGAGGUGCUGACAGACGCAUCGGCAGAGUCUGAAGGCUGCUACUUCGACGACGACGAUGCCUUCGCGCUGCGGACGGCGGCAGCAGUGAGUCGCGCCGGACGUCAUCGCGCGAUGGCACGACGCCGCCAACAGCAACAGCAGCCGUGCCAUGGCGCACUACGGACCCCUGCCUGGUCUCCUGCGUCCCCGCCAGACCCGCCGCCACGUCAGCAGUGUCAUCAGAGUGCGUCGGAAGCAGCUAGCGGGCAUCACGGCGGCGAUGGAGGCCGUGUACUCCCAGCCGGCUACCGGGUCCCUCCUGCGCCCACCCCCUGCUCCCACCUUUUGUCUCGCACGCCGCCGUCGUUGUCGUCACCAGCGUCGCCAUCGACGGCUGUUGUGCCCUCCGUCGUUGCCUCCAGUUGGCGCAACACACCAGCUCCGCCAGCGCCAGCGAGCCUGUGGGGCCCAUCCAGACACGGCAUGCUUCACAGCGGGCGGAGCAGUGGUGGUGGCAACGCUACCCGCAGCAGCGGUGACCACAUCCCCCGGCAAGAUCGGCGCGUGCCUUCCAGCGCUGCCGCACCGACGCGUGUCGUCAGCAUUGCCUGAGCCCGCUCGCCGCGUUUGCUCUACAUCAUCAUCGCACGUGCGGGCGCGCCAGCGCCACUGACGGCUUCGCCCUUCUUGCUGCGCGGGGGGGGGGGCGUUCACCAUGUGGUGCUUGCUUUCAUGUGUGUGUGUGUGUGUGUGUGUGUGUGUGUGUAUGUGCCUCCGCAGCCGCAUCGCCCCGCCCCGCCUGUGCGUUGGCCGGCUUCUUCGUUUCGCUCGUUUUCCAUCCUCUAGAGACCCUGUACCGCCAUCACGCGUGGAGAGAGAGAGAGAGAGACAGAGCAGAGAGGGGGUCAGACGCUCUCCGCGCGCUCUCGCCGACGCAGACAUACGCAUGUAUGCACGCUGGCGCGCGCCUUUCUGUCUGUCUGUGAAUGUACGGCUCACGCGACCACACGCACACCUCUCUCUCUGCGCAGUCCAUCUGUGUGUGGGCGCCCUGUCGGUGCGCACUCUGUUUUAAGAUCGAGAAACGUGGAAGCAUGCCACGCCGCGCAUCCCACGAUGCCUCUCUGCUCGACAGCUCUGUCACGCCAUCCACCAUCCAGUCACUCACCGAAUUCCCCUU